rnacentral:rRNA from 1 species
UUCCGGUUGAUCCUGCCGGACCUGACUGCUAUCGGAUUGAUACUAAGCCAUGCGAGUCAUUGUAGCAAUACAAGGCAGACGGCUCAGUAACGCGUAGUCAAUCUACCCUAUGGACGGGAAUAACCUCGGGAAACUGAGAAUAAUGCCCGAUAGAACAUUAUGCCUGGAAUGGUUUAUGUUUCAAAUGAUUUAUCGCCAUAGGAUGGGACUGCGGCCUAUCAGUUUGUUGGUGAGGUAAUGGCCCACCAAGACUAUUACAGGUACGGGCUCUGAGAGGAGUAGCCCGGAGAUGGGUACUGAGACACGGACCCAGGCCCUAUGGGGCGCAGCAGGCGAGAAAACUUUGCAAUGUGCGAAAGCACGACAAGGUUAAUCCGAGUGGUUUCUGCUAAAGAAACCUUUUGUCAGUCCUAGAAACACUAACGAAUAAGGGGUGGGCAAGUUCUGGUGUCAGCCGCCGCGGUAAAACCAGCACCUCAAGUGGUCAGGAUGAUUAUUGGGCCUAAAGCAUCCGUAGCUCGUUUUGUAAGUUUUCGGUUAAAUCCAUGCGCUUAACGUAUGGGCUGCCGGGAAUACUGCAUAACUAGGAAGUGGGAGAGGUAGACGGUACUCGGGAGGAAGGGGUAAAAUCCUUUGAUCUCUUGAUGACCACCUGUGGCGAAGGCGGUCUACCAGAACACGUUCGACGGUGAGGGAUGAAAGCUGGGGGAGCAAACCGGAUUAGAUACCCGGGUAGUCCCAGCUGUAAACUAUGCAAACUCAGUGAUGCAUUGGCUUAUGGCCAAUGCAGUGCUGCAGGGAAGCCGUUAAGUUUGCCGCCUGGGAAGUACGUACGCAAGUAUGAAACUUAAAGGAAUUGGCGGGGGGAGCACCACAAGGGGUGAAGCCUGCGGUUCAAUUGGAGUCAACGCCCGAAA